GAUGAACGCUAGCUACAGGCUUAACACAUGCAAGUCGAGGGGAAACGAUAUUGGAAGCUUGCUUCCGAUAGGCGUCGACCGGCGCACGGGUGAGUAACGCGUAUCCAACCUGCCCAUCACUUGGGGAUAACCUUGCGAAAGUAAGACUAAUACCCAAUGACGUCUCUAGAAGACAUCUGAAAGAGAUUAAAGAUUUAUCGGUGAUGGAUGGGGAUGCGUCUGAUUAGCUUGUUGGCGGGGUAACGGCCCACCAAGGCGACGAUCAGUAGGGGUUCUGAGAGGAAGGUCCCCCACAUUGGAACUGGGACACGGUCCAAACUCCUACGGGAGGCAGCAGUGAGGAAUAUUGGUCAAUGGGCGAGAGCCUGAACCAGCCAAGUAGCGUGCAGGAUGACGGCCCUAUGGGUUGUAAACUGCUUUUAUAAGGGAAUAAAGUGAGUCUCGUGAGACUUUUUGCAUGUACCUUAUGAAUAAGGACCGGCUAAUUCCGUGCCAGCCGCCGCUGUAA
rnacentral:rRNA from 1 species